rnacentral:rRNA from 1 species
UACGUAGGGUGCGAGCGUUGUCCGGAAUUACUGGCGUAAAGAGCUCGUAGGUGGUUUGUCGCGUUGUUCGUGAAAUCUCACGGCUUAACUGUGAGCGUGCGGGCGAUACGGGCAGACUAGAGUACUGCAGGGGAGACUGGAAUUCCUGGUGUAGCGGUGGAAUGCGCAGAUAUCAGGAGGAACACCGGUGGCGAAGGCGGGUCUCUGGGCAGUAACUGACACUGAGGAGCGAAAGCGUGGGGAGCGAACAGG